rnacentral:rRNA from 1 species
UACGUAGGUGGCAAGCGUUGUCCGGAUUUACUGGGCGUAAAGGGCGCGUAGGUGGCCCGGCAAGCGUGCGGUGAAAGUUCGAGGCUCAACCUCGAAUCGGCCGUGCGAACUGCUGGGCUGGAGCACUGUAGAGGCAGAUGGAAUUCCGGGUGUAGCGGUGGAAUGCGUAGAGAUCCGGAAGAACACCGGUGGCGAAGGCGGUCUGCUGGGCAGUUGCUGACACUGAGGCGCGACAGCGUGGGGAGCAAACAGG